GAUCAUGGCUCAGGAUGAACGCUAGCGAUAGGCUUAACACAUGCAAGUCGAGGGGUAACGUGUUGGAAGCUUGCUUCCGAUGACGACGACCGGCGGAUGGGUGCGUAACGCGUAUGCAACUUGCCUCACAGUGGAGAAUAACCCGGAGAAAUCCGGACUAAUGUUCCAUACACUCUUAAGUACGCCUGUACAUGAGAGGAAAGAUUUAUCGCUGUGAGAUAGGCAUGCG
rnacentral:rRNA from 1 species